AAACCAGGGCAUCACCAGAAUGCUAUUAUACCUGUAUACAUGUUCUCUCUCUACAGAUAAAACCAGAGCAUCACCAGAAUGCUGGUAUACCUGUAUACAUGAUCUCUCUACAGGUAAAACCAGGGCAUCACCAGAAUGCUGUUAUACCUGUAUACAUGUUCUCUCUACAGGUAAAACCAGGGCAUCACCAGAAUGCUGUUAUACCUGUAUACAUGAUCUCUCUACAGGUAAAACCAGGGCAUCACCAGAAUGCUGUUAUACCUGUAUACAUGAUCUCUCUCUACAGGUAAAACCAGAGCAUCACCAGAAUGCUGUUAUACCUGUAUACAUGAUCUCUCUCUACAGGUAAAACCAGAGCAUCACCAGAAUGCUGUUAUACCUGUAUACAUGAUCUCUCUCUACAGGUAAAACCAGGGCAUCACCAGAACACUAUUAUACCUGUAUACAUGUUCUCUCUCUACAGGUAAGUGGGAAUACCCAGACCAACCUUUUUCCCUGACAAGAGGAACUAUAAAGAUGGAAUGUAGGCAUUUUUACAUUUACAUUUACAUUUAAGUCAUUUAGCAGACGCUCUUAUCCAGAGCGACUUACAAAUUGGUGCAUUCACCUUAUGAUAUCCAGUGGAACAACCACUUUACAAUAGUGCUUCUAAAUCUUUUAAGGGGGG
rnacentral:lncRNA from 1 species